GUCCAGACUCCUACGGGAGGCAGCAGUGAGGAAUAUUGGUCAAUGGGCGGGAGCCUGAACCAGCCAUGCCGCGUGAAGGCGAGUGCCCUACGGGCGUUAAACUUCUUUUGUGCGGGAGCAAUAAGGGCCACGCGUGGCCCGAUGAGAGUACCGCACGAAUAAGCCACGGCUAACUACGUGCCAGCAGCCGCGGUAAUACGAAGGUGGCAAGCGUUAUCCGGAUUUACUGGGUGUAAAGGGCGUGUAGCCGGGUUGGCAAGUCAGAUGUGAAAUCCUGCGGCUUAACCGCAGAACUGCAUUUGAAACUGUUGAUCUUGAGUACUGGAGAGGCAGACGGAAUUCCUAGUGUAGCGGUGAAAUGCGUAGAUAUUAGGAGGAACACCAGUGGCGAAGACGGUCUGCUGGACAGCAACUGACGGUGAGGCGCGAAAGCGUGGGGAGCACCCAGGAUUAGAUACCCCCGUAAA
rnacentral:rRNA from 1 species